rnacentral:rRNA from 1 species
GCUGACGACAAUAGCGCGAUGGCACCACCUGAUCCCUUCCCGAACUCAGAAGUGAAACAUCGUAGCGCCAAUGGUAGUGUGG